GACGAACGCUGGCGGCGUGCCUAAUACAUGCAAGUCGAGCGGACUGACUGGGAGCUUGCUCUUGUUCGGUCAGCGGCGGACGGGUGAGUAACACGUGGGCAACCUGCCCGCAAGACCGGGAUAACUCCGGGAAACCGGAGCUAAUACCGGAUAACACCGAAGACCGCAUGGUCUUUGGUUGAAAGGCGGCGCAAGCUGCCACUUGCGGAUGGGCCCGCGGCGCAUUAGCUAGUUGGUGAGGUAACGGCUCACCAAGGCGACGAUGCGUAGCCGGCCUGAGAGGGUGACCGGCCACACUGGGACUGAGACACGGCCCAGACUCCUACGGGAGGCAGCAGUAGGGAAUCUUCCGCAAUGGGCGAAAGCCUGACGGAGCGACGCCGCGGGAGCGAAGAAGGCCUUCGGGUCGUAAAGCUCUGUUGUGAGGGACGAAGGAGCGCCGUUUGAAGAAGGCGGCGCGGUGACGGUACCUCACGAGGAAGCCCCGGCUAACUACGUG
rnacentral:rRNA from 1 species